rnacentral:lncRNA from 1 species
GAGUUUCUUUCUUCAGACCAUUUUUGUAUUGAAGAAACAUCCUCAGAAGUGGGGAUGGUGGUUCUUCUGUCCUUGACUCCAUCAACAACUUUUCAAAAAACUUCGUUCCUCCAUCCACGAGUGGAAAGAUAAAUUUUUUUACAUUACCGUCAACCAUCUGUGGGGCUUCGACUGGACCUGGAUGACUCCCAAUCUCUUUUCAAACAGAAAUGAAAUAGUUCUGG